rnacentral:rRNA from 1 species
ACAAUGGAGAGUUUGAUCCUGGCUCAGGACGAACGCUGGCGGCGUGCUUCAUACAUGCAAGUCGAACGAGAAGCAAGAGCUUGCUCUUG